GUUGAACGCUGGCUACAGGCUUAACACAUGCAAGUCGAGGGGAAACGACGGGGUAGCUUGUUUCUUCGGGCGCCGACCGGCGCAUGGGUGAGUAAAGCGUAUCCAAUCUGCCUCUGACUGAGGGAUAACCCGGCGCAAGUCGGCCUAAUACCUCAUGGCAUCGUCUGCGGGCAUCCAACGACGAUCAAAGAUUUCUUCGGUCAGGGCUGGGGAUGCGUUUGAUUAGCUUGUUGGCGGGGUAACGGCCCACCAAGGAUUCGAUCAGGAGGGGUUCUGAGAGGAAGGUCCCCCAGAUUGGAACCACGACACAGUCCAAUCUCGUACGGGACGCAGCAGUAAGGAGUAUUGGUCACUGGACGGUGGCCUGAACCAGCCAAGUGGCGUGCAGGAGGACGGCGAUAUGAGUUGUAAACUGCUUUGAUGCGAGGAUAAAGAGAGGGACGUGUCCUUCAUUGCCGGUACCGCAUGAAUAAGCACCGGCUAACUCCGUG
rnacentral:rRNA from 1 species